CAGUGACUCCAGGAUCCGGGUGAGGAUGGCUAUUCUGUAUUUCAUCAAGGAUCUGCUCAGUUCUAACACCCGGAGCUGCUCAGCUUGGGAUGUGGUGGGGCACAUUUUAAGUGAGUUCAGCCGCACCGCAGGAAGAAGGGCAGCUGGAGACCUUUCUGCCCAGGAAGCCCAGGAAGAAGGAGCUCUCCAGGGGCUAUGCAUGGACAUCCUGGGCUCACUGGACGUCUCUGGGAGAGGGAUG